rnacentral:tRNA from 2 species
GUGGCAUAGCCAAGUGGUAAGGCAAAGUUUGUAAAACCUUUUUCUCGGUUCAAAUCCGAGUGCCACCU